CCCCUGCGAUCCGAACUGUCGCCGUAUGGUUGGCGUUCCUGGUUCCGCCAGGAUAGGACGCGGGUGCGCA
rnacentral:ncRNA from 1 species